AUGGUGAGGAAGCCGCCGCGGAGUGUUGCGAGGUGGAGAUGUGGAGUUCCAUCGAAGCGAAGAUACAAAUUGAGGGAGACGGAGGUCGCCGGAGUUGAAAGGUUGAGGCGAAGAAGAAGACGGCGAAAAGGGGCGGCGCCGUUCAAGCUUCGUGAGGGAGACGAAGAGCCAGAUCUCUCUUUUAACCCUAAAUUCUUUUUUUUUAAUUUCCUUCAGUUCCCUUUUUUACUUUCUUUUUAUCUGUUUUAA